rnacentral:rRNA from 1 species
UACGUAGGGGGCUAGCGUUGUCCGGAAUCAUUGGGCGUAAAGCGCGUGUAGGCGGUCCGGUAAGUCCGCUGUGAAAGUCGGGGGCUCAACCCUCGGAUGCCGGUGGAUACUGUCGGGCUUGAGUACGGAAGAGGCGAGUGGAAUUCCUGGUGUAGCGGUGAAAUGCGCAGAUAUCAGGAAGAACACCCGUGGCUAAGGCGGCUCUCUAGUACGUGACUGACGCUGAGACGCGAAAGCGUGGGGAGCGAACAGG